rnacentral:rRNA from 1 species
UUAUAAUAAGCGGAGGAAGGGAAACUAACUAGGAUUCCCUCAGUAACGGCGAGUGAAGUGGGAUGCGCUCAAAUUUUAAAUCAGUCACUUUCUUUUUAAACGAGGGACCGAAUUGUAGUUUCGAGAAGUGUUUUCGAGCGAGGGGGCAAGUCAAAGUCUUCAGGAUUUAAGCAUCGCAGAGGGUGAGAGUCCCGUUAAAGACUUGCCUUCUGGUGCUUGUGUGAUACACUUUCAAAGAGUCAGGUUGUUUGGGAUUGCAGCCUAAAUUGGGUGGUAAUUACCAUCUAAAGCUAAAUAUCGGCGGGAGACCGAUAGCGAACAAGUACCGUGAGGGAAAGAUGAAAAGAACUUUGAAAAGAGAGUUAAACAGUGCCUGAAAUUGUCAAAAGGGAAGCGCUUGAAGCCAGUCAUGCGGCGGGGAAUCAGCUUUUUUCUAGUUUACCUUUGCGGGGUGACUGUGCAUUUCUCCUUUGAGCAUAGAGGGAUUUUGAGUCCUUUUAUGGCCGCGGGUCAACAUCAAUUUGUUUUGCGGGAAAAAGAGAUGGCAGAGGUUCCUUGAACAAUGCCGUUUGUCUUUUUCGCGGGGC